rnacentral:lncRNA from 1 species
AACACCACUUCCAACCUUGUUGAGCUUGACCUUAGUUCAAACCUCUUGAAGGGUUUGACAUCAAAUCAGUUUGGCUUGGCCAUGAAUUUGCUUGAGCACCUUGACCUCUCCUAUAAUGUGUUCAAGGGUGAAGAUUUGAAAUCAUUCAUGAAUAUGUGCACCCUACGUUUAUUAUACAUGUCUGAAAACAAUAUGACCGAAGACCUUUCGUUAAUUCUUCAUAAUUUCUCCAGUGGUUGUGUUAGAUACUCACUACAAGAGUUGAGUUUGUCAUCUAAUCAAAUCAGAGGCUCCGUACCUGACCUUUCAGAAUUUUCAAAUUUAAAAACGUUGGAUCUUUCUGAUAAUCAAUUGAGUGGGAAGAAACCUGAAGGUACUAACUCUUUAGAAGGUGGUGGUUCAAAAUCAUUUGGGAGCAUAUGUACUUUGGAGUUAUUGGAUUUGUCUGAAAAUAAGUUGAGCGAAGAUCUUACGGUCAUAUUUAAUCAUUUGUCUGGAUGUUCUACAUACUCAUUACAAAAAUUGAGUUUGGCAUCCAAUCAAAUCAGAGGCUCCGUACCUGACCUUUCAGCAUUUUCAAAUUUAAACAUAUUGGAUCUUUCUGGGAAUCAAUUGAGUGGGAAGAUACCUGAAGGCACUAGAUUGCCAUCUCAUUUGGAGCAGUUGUCAAUUAGAUCUAACUCUUUAGAAGGUGGUGUUCCAAAAUCAUUUGGGAGCACAUGUACUUUGAAGUUAUUGGAUUUGUCUGAUAAUAAGUUGAGUGAAGAUCUUACGGUCAUAUUUAAUCAUUUGUUUAGAUGUUCUAGAUACUCAUUGCAACAAUUACGUCUGAGUAUGAAUGAAAUUAGUGGUACUUUGCCUAGCAACCUCGCAACAAUGUUCCCAUCAUUAAAAGAAUUGUACCUUGAUACUAACAAGCUAAAUGGGACAAUUUCUGUAGAUCUUCGAUUUCCAACAGAACUUGAGGAAUUAUCCUUGAUGUCAAACUCUUUGAAAGGUGUGUUUACUGAUUCUCAUUUUUAUAAUAUGACAAAGUUAACAAGAUUGAUGUUGUCAGAUAACUCACUGACGUUAGAAUUUAGUCAAAAUUGGACUCUGCCUUUUCAAUUAUAUAGUAUUGAAUUGAGAUCUUGCAAGCUAGGUCCAUUGUUUCCCAAAUGGCUAGAGAAACAAAACGAAUUUGACACCGUUGACAUUUCAAAUAGUGGAAUAUCAGGUACCGUUCCAAAAUGGUUUUGGACAAAAUUUGGAUUUUCAAAUGAGAAGCAUAUUGAUAUUUCACGUAAUAAUUUACAAGGUACGAUUCCAAAUUUGCCAAUACAGAACUUUUAUGAUUAUCUUAGUCUUGCAUCAAAUCGAUUUGAAGGUCGUGUUCCAGCAUUUUUACGAGGCUCAAGAUUUCUUGAUCUAUCAAACAAUAAAUUCACAAAUUCUUUUUCCUUUUUAUGCUCUAGUGGUGUAGUUGAAACUUUAUACCAAUUAGACCUUUCAAAUAACAAAUUUUCUGGACAAAUUCCAGACUGUUGGACCCAAUUUAAGUCAUUGACUUUCUUAAAUAUGAGUCAGAACAAGUUUUCAGGAGAGAUACCUUCUUCAAUGGGAUCACUCGUUGGACUUCAAGUUUUGUUAUUAAGAAACAAUAAUUUAACAGGUAAAAUCCCUUCCAUCUUGAAGAAUUGCACACAGUUGGUGAUGGUAGACAUAACAGAAAAUAGAUUAUCAGGAUCUAUCCCAAAUUGGAUCGGGAACAAAUUAUCGCAGUUACAAUUUUUAAGCUUAAGAAGCAACUAUUUUCGUGGGAGUUUACCGUUACAAAUUUGUUAUCUAAAAAGCAUUCAACUCUUAGAUCUCUCCCAAAACAACCUAUCCGGAGAAAUUCCCAAAUGCAUAAAAAACUUUUCCUCAAUGGCUCAAAUGACUUCUUUGAGAGAUUAUCAACGUCAUUUUUAUUCCUUCAGCACUAAUUUUACCUCAGGUGGCAGUUCAUAUGAUUUGAAUGCAAUCUUGAUGUGGAAAGGUUCAGAACAAAUGUUCACANACAUGGGAUUAUCACUUUUAAAUAGCAUUGAUCUCUCCAGCAAUCAAUUAUCAGGAGAAAUUCCAAAAGAAAUAGAGGGUUUAUUUGGAUUAGUGUCAUUGAAUUUAUCAAGAAACAAAUUGAAAGGGGAAAUUCCUUCAAAUGUNNNNNNNNNNNNNNNNNNNNNNNNNNNNNNNNNNNNNNNNNNNNNNNNNNNNNNNNNNNNNNNNNNNNNNNNNNNNNNNNNNNNNNNNNNNNNNNNNNNNNNNNNNNNNNNNNNNNNNNNNNNNNNNNNNNNNNNNNNNNNNNNNNNNNNNNNNNNNNNNNNNNNNNNNNNNNNNNNNNNNNNNNNNNNNNNNNNNNNNNNNNNNNNNNNNNNNNNNNNNNNNNNNNNNNNNNNNNNNNNNNNNNNNNNNNNNNNNNNNNNNNNNNNNNNNNNNNNNNNNNNNNNNNNNNNNNNNNNNNNNNNNNNNNNNNNNNNNNNNNNNNNNNNNNNNNNNNNNNNNNNNNNNNNNNNNNNNNNNNNNNNNNNNNNNNNNNNNNNNNNNNNNNNNNNNNNNNNNNNNNNNNNNNNNNNNNNNNNNNNNNNNNNNNNNNNNNNNNNNNNNNNNNNNNNNNNNNNNNNNNNNNNNNNNNNNNNNNNNNNNNNNNNNNNNNNNNNNNNNNNNNNNNNNNNNNNNNNNNNNNNNNNNNNNNNNNNNNNNNNNNNNNNNNNNNNNNNNNNNNNNNNNNNNNNNNNNNNNNNNNNNNNNNNNNNNNNNNNNNNNNNNNNNNNNNNNNNNNNNNNNNNNNNNNNNNNNNNNNNNNNNNNNNNNNNNNNNNNNNNNNNNNNNNNNNNNNNNNNNNNNNNNNNNNNNNNNNNNNNNNNNNNNNNNNNNNNNNNNNNNNNNNNNNNNNNNNNNNNNNNNNNNNNNNNNNNNNNNNNNNNNNNNNNNNNNNNNNNNNNNNNNNNNNNNNNNNNNNNNNNNNNNNNNNNNNNNNNNNNNNNNNNNNNNNNNNNNNNNNNNNNNNNNNNNNNNNNNNNNNNNNNNNNNNNNNNNNNNNNNNNNNNUUAAAAAAAUUAAUAACAUCAAAUUUUAAUUUGUCAUUCACUAUUUAUUAUUUAUGUUUUGUUGUUUUUAAUUUUGGGAAAAUUAAUUAUUUGUUUAAUUUUUGGCAGAGGAAAUCUGGAUUAUUGUUGUGAAGUAGUGUAAAGGAAGAAAUGGAAUUAUUGUUGAAGAUCGAAAGGGUUGUGAGGGUAGCCUACUGAAACGAUAUCAAAAAUCAGACAAGAGAGCUACUCCACUUGGAUUUGGAUUCCACAUAACAGAAUGAUUCCUCUCAAUUCAAAAUUAUGAGACUGGGUUGGUCUCCAAUCCUUUUUUUAAUAUAUAUUAAGGGAGAUUUUGUAAAAAAUCAGAAAAUAAUAUUUUAAAAGUAAUGGUAAUCUAAAUAUAAUAGACUCGGUUCUUUUAAAACUCAUUGUCUCUUUAAAAAUUACAAAUUUUUAUUUUUGAAAAAGUAACAAAGAAUUGUUGUUGUUAACUUAAAUAUUAAUUAAUUUAUAUCUUAGAAAAAAAAAGGAAGUUUCCUUUUUCAUUUGUCAAUAUUUCUUUAUAAUUUGUAACUAAGACAAUUUACCAUAGUGAACUUAUUACGUAUCUGGAUUUUUAUUAUUUAAAUAUUUUUCGCAGAACUUAAAAAAUUUAUAAAACAAAAUUAAAAAGAAUAUUUUCACAAAUUUUUAUAAAUAAAUCACUGAAAAUAUAAAAUUUUCGAAUGGUAUUUGUUUUAUUUCGACAUAGAAAUAAAUAACUUUAUUUUGUUACUCAUUUGUAAACUGUUGGACUGUAUUAAUUUGAACUCUUUCUAUGUCAAAUUAACCAUAUUGCUAUUCAUAAAAGAAGCUAUUGCAAAUAUUACAACUUGUUAAAAGACAAUUGCCUUGCGAAAUGCAUUUUCAGAGUACUUUUUUAAUUUUAUUAUCUUUAGAAUAUUGACUUAUAAUAUUUCACUACUUUUUAAAGAAACAUUUGAUCGAUUAUUUUUUUAUAUAAAAUUGUGGUUUAAUCUAAAAAUUCCAAUUUUCACAAGUCUUCGGAUAAGUCAAUUGAUUGGAAUAGAAUUAUUGUCCCAAAAAAUUUCCCACCGUUGAUAAUGAGGAAAGUGACAAAGGUGGAAAAGUGGAGGACUCCCUUGUGAUUUUAUUUAAAUAAAGACCAAUGUCUAAUUUUUCAAUAAUGACUACAUGAAGUUUCCUUUUUAAUUUGACAAUAUUUUUUACACAUUGUCCCAUUACCCCAAAUUAAUUUACUAUAACAAAGUCAUUUUCUAGUAAUAUGAGAUGACGAUAUCAUAGGAACAACAUAAAAAUGGUGACAUAAGCUUUCGCUAUUAAAAUAUUUUCUUAAUAUUUAGCUGGACUUAAUUAUUUUUUUAAGAUAUCCUUAAAGAAAAAUAUAGACAACAUACGAAUUUCUAAUUGUAUCUAUUUUCAUACAAUAUUUUGUCUGUACGAAUAAAUAACAUUAUUUAUUCGUGUAAAACUAUUAAUUUGUAAUAAUAUGGACUCUUUCUAUGUUGUUAGGAAAAUGAACCAUCUUGGUAGCCACAAAUAAAAAUAUAUUGCAAACGUACAAUUUGUUGGACAGAAUUGCAUUUUGAAGUGCAUCUUUUGAGCACUUUCUUCUUAUCCAAGACAUAUCCAAGCAAGGAAAAAAGUGGUAGACUUUUUGCCUCGGUUCUGAAUCGAGUUAGUUUUUUCCCCUCUAUUGUCUUAGUUGGAACCUAAAUCGAGACAGUAGGAUCCUUCUUCUUUUUUCUUCUUUCGCCACCUUUACGCCUCGAUUCUGAUUUCAUUUCCAGAUUCUAAUUUCAAACCUCCUAACUGAAAAAAAUCAAGAUUGCAAAGACAGAAGCCCAAAAAUUAAUUUGAAAUGAAGUCCAUGUCUCCAAUUCACAAACUCAGAUAACAAAGUUGGAACCCCCAAAUCAGAUGAAUAGUUGAAACCCUAAGUCGCAAAAACAAGAACAGAAACCCCAAAUUUGAAAAUGAGAAACAUAAUUCCCUAAUUCUCAAUUUCAGAAACCCAAAAAUUCCAAAUCGAAAAACGAUUCACUCCGCUGCCACCUUCCUCGCAAUGCGCCACCGCCACCUUCGUCCGUCAUCGCAACCCCAUUCGCACCCAACCUGCAUUCUUAUACGAACUAGGAAAGCCCUAAAACUCAAACAAAAACAAAGGAAGAAAGAGGAGAAGGAAACUUGCACCACGAAUCAGAACAACCAAUGUCCUCGCGCAGUUGUCACCAUUGAAGAAGUCGGAGUUUGAACCUUCGCGGAAGCGCUGCCGCUGUUGGACGCGACCUCGCCGCGCCUCGCCACGUCUCUUUAUGUCUCUCCGGGUCUCACCUAAGAUUAUGUAUAUGAAAGGUUUGAAGACUUUGAUACUCGUUUGGGCAACAUUGAGGAACGUCUAAAUCUUCAAACUCCAAAUCAUCCUCAGUCCUACCUUCUAGAUUUGAUGAUUGUUUUAAUUUCAUUCAUUGUUGUCUUUUAUGUUCCUACAUAUUGUGUGUGCCGUAAUUUCAUUUGUGUAAAUAAAUCCAACCUUUUCAUUAUCUUUUAUUUCAUAAAUUGAUUUGUUGAGGGGAAGAACAAAUUGAGGGGGAGUGUCAGAAGUUGCAGGGGGAAUAGGCCGCGAUUGCUCUUAGAACCACGGCCUAUUCUCCCUACAAACUUCUGACAUUCCCCAAAAGGUAGUUGGGAGGAUUCGGAACGUCAAGGAAUAGGUCGCGGUGUGAGGGGAACCGCGGCCUAUUCCCUGAUCUGAAUAAAUUUUAAAUAUUUAAGGGAAUAGGCCGCAGUUGGCCGCUGAACCACGGCAUAUAGUUUGAAAAAAAUUUCAAAAAUGCCAUUUUGAUUUAUUUUUCUCAGGAGAAUAGGUUGCAAUUAAGUUUUGAAUCGCGACAUAUUCCCCUCUAUUACCGCAGUUAAGUGUUGAACCGCGACAUAUUCCCCUCUAGGUCAAAAAAAUAAAACACACAUGAACAAUAUUGUCCCCUUCGCGCAAACAGUUUUAGAGCAUUGUUUCCAUUCUCCGUCGACGACGCCAUCUUCUACUUCCAUUUUCAAUCAUUUUACACCGUUUAAACUCAAAUUUGUUUGGUGCCUUUGCCAUUUUCAACGUUGUGGAAGAGUUUUAACCGAUCAAAAUAGUCAACUUCCACUUGGAAAUCGUCAACUUCCGUCGUGCCAUUCCUCUCCGCCAUGCCAUUCCUCUCUGCCACGCCCAUUCCAAGUAUUGCCUUUGAUGCCCUUCGUCGUUUUUGCUAUCUUCAACAUGAUUUCUUCGUUCGUUUUUGCAUAAUAACAAUUACUAUUGUUUUGGUAGUGUAGACAUAGAAAAUAUGUAGACAUAGAAAAUUUAGAAUUAUUAGAAUUUGCAUAAUAACAAUUACUAUUGUUUUUGCAUAAUAAUAAAUAUUUAGAAUUAUUAGAAUUUAAUCCUUAAUAGAAUUCCUAAACCUUAUAAUAUUUGAGUAAUCACUAGGUGAAAUUAAUGUUUGAAUGGUAUGUAUGAAAUUACAAGUUUGAUUUUUGUACCUUAUCUUUUUAAGUAAUAUUUAGGAAUGGAUCGAAAUUGGAUUACUUUACCACGCAUUAGUGCUGAGUACGAGAGAGGGGUAGAGGAAUUUAUACAAUUUGCACAACAUAAUGAAGGUACAAAUGAUGAUGAAGUGAAAUUUAGAUGUCCUUGUGUGAACUGUUUGAAUAGGAGAAAGUUGAACACAACCCAAGUUAGAGAACAUCUUAUAUGUCAUGGUUUCCUAAGAUGCUAUACAACAUGGAUAUGGCAUGGCGAAGAAAUGUACUUUCUGACUGACUCCCAAACUGAAAAUGUUAUUAAUUCCACCAUGGAAGAAGAUCGACUGGAUGAAGACAAAUUGAGGACAUGAUCCGUGAUGUUGGCGUAGAAAAUUUUGCCAAAGCUCAUGUGUAAGAGAGGAUGUCGACUGAUGUGGAAACACCUUUGUAUGUCGGUUCAACUAAGUUCACACGUUUGUCAAUGGUGUUAAGGCUCAUGAAUUUGAAGGCGAGCAAUGGAUGGACGGAUAAGAGUUUUACAAAAUUGUUGACGUUGUUGAAUGAAAUGCUGCCAGAUGGAAAUACACUACCUACUCGUAAUUAUGAUGCGAAGAAAAUUCUUUGUCCAAUGGGUAUGAAGUAUAAAAGGAUACAUGUUUUUCCCAAUGAUUUCAUUUUAUAUAGGAAAGAGUUUGAAUUUUUGACAAAGUGUCCAAAAUGUGGGUUAUCACGAUACAAGUAAAAAAAAAAAUAGUGAAGAUAAUGGUCAGAUAGAAAAAAAUGGAUCUGCUUUGAAAGUAGUUUGUUACCUUCCAAUAGUGCCUAGACUUAAGCGUUUGUUUGCGAAUCCCAAAGAUGCUAAAAACCUUAGAUGGCAUGCAUAUGAGAGAAAAAUUGACGGGCUGCUUCGUCAUCUAGCUGAUUCAAAGCAAUGGAAAAAUAUUGAUCAACAAUUCCCCCAAUUUGGUAAAGAGUGUAGAAAUCUUAGGCUUGGUUUAGCCACUAAUGGAAUGAACCCAUUUCGUAAUCUGAGUACUAAUCGCAGUUGUUGGUCAGUUAUAUUGAUAAUUUACAACUUAUCUUUUGUAUUGUGCAUGAAGAGGAAGUACAUGAUGUUGUCUAUGACGAUAUCUUGUCCAAAGCUGUCUGGAAAUGACAUAGAUGUUUAUCUAAGCCCACUAGUUGAAGACUUGAAGUUUUUGUGGGUUGAUGGGGUUGAAAUAUUUGAUGCAUUCGCUUCUGAAACUUUUGUGAUGCGUGCAAUGUUAUUUUGCUCCAUUAAUGACUUUCCAGCUUAUGGCAAUUUGUCAGGAUAUAGUGUCAAGGAGCAUAAAACAUGUCCUAUCUGUGAAGAAAACAUUGCAGCUCAUCAAUUGGAACACGGAAGAAAGACGGUGUAUUUGCGUCAUCGGAGAUUUCUAAAAUGUAAUCAUCCAUAUCAAAGGUUAAAAAAAGCAUUCAAUGGAUAUCAAGAGAGGAACGAAGCACCAAAUCCACUUACUAGCCUUCAAAUUCUUGAAAAAGUUAAUAAAAUACCUGGGGAAUGGUGGGACAUGUUUGGUGAUGGAACUCCGGAGUUGAAGAGAUUUGUUAUUUGAAUUCUAAGCUUGACUUGUAGUUCUUCUGGAUGUGAGCGUAAUUGGAGUUCAUUUGAAAUGGUAAUUUAAAUUAUUUUUAAUUUAUAAAUUCCUUUAUUAUGUUUAUAUCUUCACUAAAAAUAUUAUAUUUCAUUCUAAGUUCAUACAAAGAGAAGGAAUCGUUUGCAUCAAAAAAAGAUGAAUGAUUUAGUUUAUGUGAUGUAUAACUCCAAGCUGAAAAGUAGAAAAAUUCGAAAAACUGUAGCUCUUCCAUUUGAUGACAUUGAAUCAGAUGAUGAAUGGAUAACUGAAGAGGCAGAUGAUGUUGUUGAGAUUGAUCAAGUUGAAGCUGAAAAUGAUGGUGAAAAUGUUCACUUAGAUGGAGCAACAACAUAUCCUACUCUAGAUGCUUUUGAUCUUGAUAAAAUAACAUUUGGGAACAAUGAGGAUGCACAACAUUCAUCAGAGGAAGAGUUAGAUGAGGAUGAUGAUGGAGAUGAUGAUGCCAUUAUUAGAGGAUUAGAGGAUUAGACAUAGAAUUUGAAAUUUCAAUUUAUGUUUUACAUUAUAUUUUUAUGAACAAUAUUUCUAUGAACUUAUGUAUUUAAAUUUAUAUAAUUUUGUUAUCUUAUUUGAAUUAGGAUGUUAUUUAUAUUUUAUUUUCAUGCAAAGUAAACUCUUACGAUUUAACGAGUCGAGUUUACUGGACUCUCACGAAUUUAUGUAAAAUCUCUAGUUUGACAACCUUAAUAUGUAAUAUUCUUACUAUAGGAGAAAAUUCUAAUGUCGAGUAGAUUAGAAGUUUCAUUUUUGUUGUUUUUCUUUAUGUAUAUUUUCCACACUUACACCGAAAUAAUUUUACUAUUAUAAACUUAUUCGGUUGUGUUGAGAGUAUCAGGAAAACAAUUAAACCAAAGAAAUCAAUAAGCCAAUUUUUAGGCAAUUGUUAGGCAAAAGGUGAAAAAUAGAUGUUUUAGGAUCAAUAAGAGAAAUCGACCAAAUGACUUUCUUAAGACAUUGAAAAAAUUUUGAUCGAGAUAAAAAUACAUUAAAAGAGGCUAAAUCAAGAGAAACAUGGAGAGAAGGACAAUCCAAGCACAGGUUAAGGCUGCUUCGAGAAAGACGUUAUAUACAUUAAUUAUUGCAUAACAUGAAAUCAACUAGGAUAUUUGACACUGUAUGGACAUUUUAAAACAGUUACUUCAAUUUAUGUAUUUUUUAUUUUAUUUUAUUUUGUUUUGUCGAUACACUUUCAAAAGUACACUUUCAAAGAGUGUAAUAACAUUGUGAACAUAAAAAAUAGCUAAUUCACUACAAAAAAGAAGAUAUUUAGCGGGGUUAUUGUGAGGAGGUUAUAAAACCCUCCACAAAUUAACAUUUUUUUAAAAUGAUUAUAAUGAAUUAUGGAUGGUCAAAACUAACGGGAGUUUUAAUUGUUUCAGGUUUAUAAGUUCUACAAGUUAAAAUACAUUUUAUUAUAUUAUUGCUUCCCUCCUACGUUCAAAUUUCCCAAAUCUUCCCUCUAACUCCCAAAAUUCCCCCCUUGUUCAUUGAAUUUUCCAAAUUUCAUAAUACAUUUCAUAUUCCUUUUUCCCAAUGUUCACUACGCUUCCUCUUCUGCGUUGAAAACCCUGGCGAACCAGCUUCUCUCCUCCGCCUCGGACAUCAACAAACCUUCCUCUUCUCCUCACAUUCCUUUCCCCUUUUUCUCAUCCUCACCACGUCCUCGAAUCCCUACUCUCUCUCCACUCUUUCUUCUGCCUCUUCUACCAAAGAUCCCUUUCUUCUCCGUCGUCGCUACCUCCGCGGCUCCCUCCACUGCUGACCAGUUCGAGUUCAUCUACCUCACCUGGCUACGCUCCAAGUUCGAUGAGUUCCUUAAGUCACUCAUCGACAUUCUUGCCUCGCCAUAAUCUGACAAGACGCUCAAGGAACUCGUGUUGGAUACGCUCAUGGAGUUCGUGAAGGUGGCCAAUGGCAGCACCUUCCACUCUGCUUUGUAUCACAAACUUCUACUUUGCGUUGUACGUUAUGACAAUUUUGUUGAUAAAUGUUGUUGUUAUUGUUGUUUCGAUAUGAUUUUGUUGGUUUUGGACUGAUGCUAUCAGGUUCAUUUUCUUCUAAUCUAUGGAUUCUGAAAAAGCAUUAGAGCUUGUUAAGCAAGGUGUCACUCUUCUCUUCCUCGAUGUUCCUCAGUACACCAUGGUCGCCAUCGAUACUCAGGUACUUCAUUCUUCUAUUAUUUUCUGGACUGCCAAGUGACUGUCUUUUUAUUUUCUUUUUUCUUUCAAUGCUGUCAUCAUGGUAUCUGAAAAUAAAAUUUGAAAUUCGUAGGGGGUGGAAAGCUAAAAUAAAUAUCCAACUUUGUUUCAUACUGGCAAUCUGACAUUGUUUUCCUUCUGUUCUUCGUUUUGUAGACGUUCUAUGUGGGGCCUGCUUUUAAGGGUAUUAAGAUGAUUCCUCCUAGCACUCAUUUUGUGUACUAUAGUUCAUCAAGCAGGUUUGAUCAUCUUGCCCAAUUAUUUAGACUUAUUUUUUAACUUGCAUUAGUCUCUCUUUUGUUUAGUUAUUUUUAUUCCUGCAAAAUCCCAUGUUUCCCUUGUGGAUAUAUGGGGAGCCUAUUAAUAGAUUAAAGGAAAUGAUAAGAGAGUGGUGGGUGUUCUUGUGUGUGAUAAGACAUUGUUUUUCCUAUACUAUUGUCUUUUCUGCGAGUAUUAGUGUCCUUUCAAUCUUGUGUAAUGUGGCAAAGUGUAUUUUUUGGGAAAUAACCUUGGAUCAUAGUAUUUGAAAUGAUUUAUCUCUUACAUAUGGUCUCUCUAUUAUCAUGUUUGCUGACCAUAUAGUGUUAAGCAUAAGACGUCACUAGUUCUGUCAGUUGCUAGAAUUAAAUUUUUUCUUAAAUUUCAUGAUUUUUCAAAUUAUCUGGUGCAUUGAAUCUUUUGUUUUUCUUUUGGGGAAUUCAUGCAGAGAUGGGAAAGAGUUCUCACCAAUUGUUGGAUUCUUCAUUGAUACUGGCGCUUCAGAGGUAUAAAAAUAUUUUUUUUUUAUUUAGUGUUAGAUCAAUAAUGGUCAAGUAUUAGAUCAAAUUAGUGUUAUAGUUAAAUGAUGAGUACAACAGAAGAGAACGCAAUUUGUGCUACUAAAGUCACUUGUGGUAGAUGCUCUUAUUUAUGCGUGAUGUUUGUAGGAUUUUUUCGUUUUUAUAACUGAUUUUUCUUUUCACCUUUUCUGUAACAGUCAAUAGGUUCUCUUCAAAAGAAAUAUUCAAUUGGAUCGUUUGAAUUGCUAAGUAAAACUGCUCGUUUGAAUUGCUAAGUAAAACUGCUCCCAUUCAAGCACUUUUUCUUCUUAUUCUUGGUCCAUUUGUUGAUUUGCAAACAGAGCCUUCUGUAUUAUAUUUUGGAUUUCCCACCCAUUUGAACAUUUUUUCAUUGGAUAAUUUGUUUGAUUAUCCCUAUCAGAUGACAAAAUUACAAGUGCAUAUGGCAACAAUGAAAGUCAAUUGAGCUAUAAGUUAGUCAGACUUAUGACCGUUGCUUUGAAGCUAGUUCCAUGGUUUUCUAUUUCCAAGUUAAAUUGCGGUUGUAAUGUGUUUGGGAGAAAAGAGGUUUUGUGUUCGAGGCUUUUGGUAUGUUAUGCUUUUCUCUAAUCUUUGUAUAAUUGUAUGUUAUUGCCUUACCAAUCCAUUUCUUUCUUAUCAUUUGCUUCAAGGUUUGUUUUGAUCAAUAAUCCUAUCUAGUUUUUUAUAUAGAACUUGAUGAAAUUUAUGUUUAUGAUGAUAUAUAAAUAACAUUGUGUCCUUUAACUCGUACCAAGACUGAUUAUUAGCCUUUGAAUGUUCAUUAGUAUUUUAAAUAGAAAAGAAAAACAUUUUGCUUGAGUGGAUUGAGGAACCCAAAAGUAGGGAAGAAUAAGAUAUUAGAUAUGCUCUGUGCAAAAUAAAAAAAAAAACUGAUACAAGGAUAAAAAACUGUAAAAACCUAAGAGAUUUUGAAAUUUAACUCUAAUGAUAAAAUUAUUUUUCGAAAAUCCAUAAUAUUGUAAGAAAAUGGCAAUAAGGAUUGUUCAUUCUAACAAUUUUUAAAAUUGUUAGGGACUAGGGAUAAUUUUUUAUCGGUAAAGGUGUUCAUGGAUGACUGUCGGAAUAUUUAUAAAGUUUUUAAGAUAAUUUAAAUUUGAUAUGAAGUAGGAAUAAACUUUGAAAUUAUUAUAUAAGUCUUAAAAAUAAAUAAGAAAAUUAUAGUUGUUUAAAAAUUUUGGUAUAAAGUUUAAUGUGAACAGUAUUCUAGAAGGAAUGGUUCAAGAAUUAAAAAAGUGAUUAUUAGUAUUAAUAAGAUCAAAGGUUUUAUGUUCUCAUUUCUUAACAAACCGAAGCAGGAGCCUUUCUUUAUUUUGUCUUCUUUUGCAUCAUCACUGAGAAAAGAGCGCAUCUUGGUUUCCAAUGUGAAGGGAGCUUUACCAAACAAACAUGGCUACAAUAGUUGUCAGGAUUCUCGGUUCCAAUUCGCUGUCGCUGGUGUCAGUCCUUACUCCUCGACCUCCGCAGCGGUGGCGGAAGCGGAGAGCACGGAGGUGAAUUUUAAAAAAGUAGUGGUGGAGCAAUGAGUUGAAGGGAAGUAGUUGAUGAAGUGAAGUUGUUUUACUUCAAAGGGUAGGAAGCAAAUAUAGAGUUAUUGGUCUCAUGUUAAGCUUUUAUGUGUUAGGGAUUUUGUUUAGUUCAUCAACAUUAGUUUAUGUUUUUAAUUGAUCGAGUAGUGUUAGAUUUUUUUUGUCAAUCUUGUAAUGUUAUUUAAACAUUAUGUAUUUUUUUUUAUAUUUAUAUUGUAAUUGUCAAUGAAUGUAUAUUAUUUUAAAUUAUCAAUAAAAUUAAUUUUGAAUUAUUUUUCUAUAAUUUUCAAUUUUAUUAUAUAUUUUAUUAAGUUUUUUUGUUAUUUCUACAAGCUUGUGAAUUUAAUAGUAUAUAUUAAUACUAAAAAAUAGUGUAAAAAAUAUAAGUAUUUUUUUAAUUAAAUAGUUGAAAAUAAAGGAGGUUAAAAAUCUCAUAAAAUAAUAGUCAGUAAUAGAGGAGGUUUUUACCCUCUGCAGAAAAACCUCCGUAAAUUGAAUGUGAUAUCAGGAGUCAUGGAAAACCCCCACAGAUAGUUUGUGGUGACUCAAACUGCGACUGUUUGAAAAACCCUCGCAAAUUACGCGGAGGGUAAAAACCUUCGCAAAUCGAAAAAAAAAAAAACUUCCUCUAAAUAACAUUUUUUUUGUAGUAAUUCAGUGUUGGUUGUAAUAAUUUAGAUAAUUACUUUCAUUGAUUUUCUUCAUUCAUUUUUGUUCUAUUCUUGGUAAUUAAUUUAUUACAAUUCACAUUCAUGCAGACCCUUCACCCGUCAUAUUUUGUUCUCUAUACUAUCAUUGUUUUGAUUAAUCCAUAUUUGAGCCAACUGGUCUUAACUUUCGUCCUGUAUUUACUCUUGACUAUUUAAUUUUAUUAUCUUUCAUAAUUAUGUCACUAUAUUUUAAAGAAAUAUUUGAUGGGUUAUUUUUUAUAUAAAAUUGUUGUUUAAUCUAAAAAUUCCAAGUUCGUGUAAGUUACUUUUCUUUUCACAAGUCUUGGGAUAAGUUCAUCGAUUGGAAUAGAAUUAUUGCCCUAAGACUUUUCUCACGAUUUGAUUUAUUCUACAAAUACCAAAUUUGUGUUCAUACUAUAAGACGGAUAACAUUUCAUUUGAUUGAAAUUUCAUUGUUGAUGCCAUGUAAUUUGUAGUUUAUUUUAUGCAUCACAAAAAUUAAGUUAUUACCUUAUGUAAAUUGAAUAGAUAUUGUAAUUAAAAAAAACAUUAAUCCACAAUAAAUUUUAUCCGAAUUUUGCUGUUUACCAGUUUUAAUUAUAAUAGAUAAACAUGUAUUUAAGUAAUUAAAUAUUAUAAGGAGUUUGAGUGACAUUUAGGGUGAGGACUUGGAAAAUUGAAAAGUAAACCCAUAACAAUGAAAAGUAUUAGUGUAUAAUGACCCUCAAAUAUAUAUGACUACAAAAAAGAAAAACACUGUGAUUAGAACGGGAAAUAGAACACUUAUAAACUAAAAUAUUCAAAUAUAAUGUAAAAAUAGUUAAAAUUAAAAAUAUACCAUCCCGUGUUUAAUUAGUAAUUUUGCAUGCAAAACAAAUUAUGAAAAUAAAAUAGAAAAUUUCUAGAAAUAUCACUUUUAAAUCAUUGUUGCAGUAGAAAUUCACAAGGUUUACAAAUUUUCAAAUUUGAAAAAGUAACAAAGAGUUGUUGUUGUUGUCUUAAAUAUUAAUUAAUUUAUAUUUUGUUGUCUUAGAAAAAAGGAAGUUUCCUUUUUUUUUUUAUUGGUCAAUAUUUCUAUAUAAUUUGUAACUAAGAAAAUUAGCAUAGCGAACUUAUUACCUAUAUGGAUUUUUAUUAUUAAAAUAAUUUUUUUUACGUAGAACAAAAUAUUUAUAAAAAAAAUUAAAAAAUAAUUUCACAAAAUUUUAUGAAAAAUCGCACAAAAUAUAAAAUUUUCGAAAGGUAUUUGUUUUACUUCUACAUAGAAAUAACUGACGUUAUUUUGUUAUACUCAUAUGUAAACUGUUGGACUGUGUUAAUUUAAACUCUUUCUAUGUCAAAUUAUAACCAUCUUGCUAUUCAUAAAAGAAGCUAUUAAAAAUAUUACAACUUGUUAAAAAACAAUUGCCUUGUGAAAUGCAUUUUUAGAGUACUAUUUUUAUUUUAUUAUCUUUCGAAUAUUGGCUUUUAAUUUUAUCACUAUCACUAUUGUUUGGUUGAUUAUUAUUUAUAUAAAAUUGUGGUUUAAUCUAAAAAUUCCAAGUUCGUGUAAGUUACCUUUCUUUUCACAAGUCUUCCAAUAAGUCAAUUGAUUGUUGGAAUGAAAUUAUUGUCCAAAAAAUUUCCCACCAUUGAUAUAAUGAGGAAAGUGACAAACGGGGAAAUGUGGAGGGACUUAUUGUAACGAUGUCUCCAAUAAUUCUGAAAUAGAACAUCGUUAUUGACUUAGACUUUGACAAGUAUGGCCUUUUAUUAUUUGCGAUUAUUUGUAUUAUAUUUAAUUAUUGAUGAUUAAACUUUAUUGUGAUGAAUUAUGUUUAUUGUGACGUAGUCAAAAAUACUCAAUUAGUGAUACUUGAUAUUUCAUUGUAUCUGGGAUGCUUUAUCGAUAUAUGAUUGACUUUGGGUACUUUUAGAAUAAUAAAGUAUAUAUUUAUAUAGUAAUCGAGUGUUAUGAUUACUGUUUGCAAUGAUGAAACUUUGUUUACAUUAACCUCUUUAUUUGCCACCCGCUUAAUUGAAGUAUAAUUGAUAUUGGCCUUAUUUAAUUUACAAUUGAACCUUGCUUAGUUGGAAUAAUAGAUUUUGAUUCAAUUUUAUUAAUUUCCCUUAUCAUUUUAUUUGAAGUUUCCUAUUUUUCUUUUUAAUAUUUUUUAUAUAUUGUUCAAUUACCCCUAACUCAUUUACUAUAGCAAAGUCAUUUGCUAUUAAUAUGCAUUGAAGAAGUCAUACGAUAGCGGUUGUUUUCAAUGAAUACCAAUUUUACAACCGAAACAUAUUAAGGCAUGAUAAAAUAGGAGAAUUUUUUGUCUCAAUUAUGAAUUGAAACAAAAGUAUCCACAUUUUGCUUCGGUUAAAAAAAAUCAAAGCACUAAACCAAUAAUUAAAAAAAAAUGAGUUUUUGGCAAUGGUUGUGAAAAUAACAAAGGCCAUAGACCCUAUCUCAUUUAAAACAAUUAAUUAAUUUAAAAGACUUUAUGCCUUGAUUGGGAUGAAAACCAGUGCCAUAGACUUUUUCUACUUCAGUUAUGAAAAUAACCAAGAUCAAAAGUUGUUUUUUCUUUAAAUAUUUUUUUCUGAAAUAAUAUUUAGCUUCUUCAUUUAUGAUAUGAACCGAAGUCGAACUGCUUGAGUUUUGACUAUAACUGAAGCCUAAUGUUGAUGUGUUUUUUUUUUAUAUUUUUCUUGUUUCUAUUUCAUCUUACAAUGAUUAUCUAUAAAUUAUUAGCAUUGCUUCCUCUUAUAUUAAUUUAAAACAAAUACAUUUAUUCAAAAAUCUUUGAGACGUUAAAUAAUUUUUGUAUUGAAACUCAAACGAAAAAAUUAAGGUUGACUCAAUACAACAAUAUAUUUAAGCAUAUAAUUAAUCAUGUAUCCAACAUAAAAAAAGUAAACAACAUACCCAAAAAUUAUAGGCUCAUAUCAAAAAUAAAUUUUCAAGACAAUCGCACUCACCAUGGUUGAUGGAGACAAACAAAGAGCAACAAUGACAGCGAGCAACGAACUCAACGUGGCGUUAACAGUGAGGAACGAAGCAGUGAUGUCGGUCAAGCUGUGAUGAUGGCCUUCAAGUUCAGAGACGAAGUGAGUCGAGUAGUUGAUGAUGGAAGGAAGAAGAAAAUUAUGAAGUGUUAACUGUGUUUUUUUCACGAAUUUAACUCUGAACAAACAACGAUUAUUCGUAAAAUUGAUGCUUAAAGGCUUUUAAUAAAAUAAAAAAAGAUUAUAAAUUUGAGUGACAAUUUUAAUUUUUUGAUCAACAUUUGAUUUUGGUUGUCCAGGGAACCACAACAUAAAGUAGAUAUGACUAGGGGUGGGCAAAUCGAACUGAACUGUACUGCACUGCAAAAAACUGAACUGUAAAACAGUUCAGAAAAACUGAACUGAACUAUUUUUUUUUAUCAAAUUGAAACUGUACUGUACUAAAUUACAGUAUGAAAUGAACUGAACUAUUAACUGAAUUGUAAACUACACUAACUGAACUAUUAACUGAACUGUAAACUGCACUAACUGAACUGAACUAUUAGUUGAAUUGUAAAUUGCACUAACUGAACUAUUAACUAAAUUGUAAACUACAUUAAUUUUAACUAAAGUAUAAUAUAAACUGAACUGAACUACUAACUAUACUAAUUUUAAACUGAAUUGUACUAAUUUUUAAACUAAAUAGUAUAACAAUACAUNNNNNNNNNNNNNNNNNNNNNNNNNNNNNNNNNNNNNNNNNNNNNNNNNNNNNNNNNNNNNNNNNNNNNNNNNNNNNNNNNNNNNNNNNNNNNNNNNNNNNNNNNNNNNNNNNNNNNNNNNNNNNNNNNNNNNNNNNNNNNNNNNNNNNNNNNNNNNNNNNNNNNNNNNNNNNNNNNNNNNNNNNNNNNNNNNNNNNNNNNNNNNNNNNNNNNNNNNNNNAAAGUUUUUUUGACAAGAAGAAAUAGUUGAACUGAAACUAGAGAAGAUAUAAGAGCAGAUACAAUUAACUGAACUGUAACUGUUAUAAGUUCAGUUUUUAAAAACUGAACCAUAAAAUAGUAUACUGAACUGUUAGUAAAAGUGGUUCAGUUAUUUUUAGUAUAAUAUAGUACAGUUAACUGCAGUACAGUAUAAAUCAGUUAUUUUUGCCCAGCCCUAGAUAUGACAUCAGUUGUCCAAAUAACCAAGAUUAUAUGUCCUUUUGAGAAAAAUUAAUAAAUAAAAACAAUUAGAAAUUUUAAAAUUUUGAUCAAAUUUUUUUGACUCGGUUGUUCAGUAGAAAGUGGAUACGAUAGUGAUUGCUCAAAUAAUCGAAGUUUAGAUCCUCUCUAGAAAAAACAUAAAGAAAAUAACACAAAUUUUAAGAAAUUUUGAAAAAUUUGGUACAUCUUUCAAUCUCGAUUCUUUAUCAACCGAUGCCAUAUGCGCAUUUUAGAUAAAAAAAAAAGUGUGAUUUUUUAAAAAUUUUGAAAAUUUUGACAUAUUUAAACAUCAGGUGUGGAUUAAUCGAUACUAAAAGUGAUAUAUGUUUCAAUUAUUUUAUGACCAUACCUACAAAUUAACAAAAUUUUUAAAAGUGUCACCACCACCUUAUUGUAUAUGUUUCGAUAUCUUUAAAACCAUAACACGAGUUAAUAAGUUAAAUCUACAGUAAUUAUGAGAUGAAAAUAUUAUAGGAACAAGAUAGAAAUGAUGACAUAACCUUUCACUAUUAAAAUAUUUUCUUAAUAUUUAUUUGGACUUAAAAAUUGUUUAAAAUAUCAUUAAAGAAAAAUAUCUAUUCUAUGAAUUUUAUAUAAAAAAAACACUGACAAUAUACGAAUUGCUAAUUGUGUUUAUUUUCAUAGAAUAUUUUGCCUCUAUAUAAGAAUAAAAAAAACUAUUAAUUUGUAAUAAUUUGGACUCUUUCGUUAAGAAAAAUUAACAAUCUUGCAUUUAUUGAAAAAUUAUUCGAAGUCAGUUGAUAUUAUGGAAAUUAUUGAAAUCUUGCAUGCAUUAAUAACAUUACUGGAAUAUUAUAAAGUUGAAAUGAAAUGUCAUUAAUUUUUUUAUUAUUUAAACCGAAAAACAAAAUAAACUGAAUUGCAAAAGUAAUUUAAUGAGUCAUAGUUAUAAAUAAAAUAAGGGUUGUUUUAGUUCAUUAUUUAUGGACCACAAAAUCAGUUAAUAUGAAUAAAAAAAAUGGAAACAGACAAACACUGACGACGACGACUUAGAAUAAAGUAAGGGAAAGACAGAGUGAAAGGAUACGUAAUUAAAGAGUUGGUGAGUAUAAAUGUGGGUAAAUGCUAAAUUCAGAACACAUAUCAAUCUUAUUCUAUACCAUUCACUCUCUCUAUUUCAUCAUCAUGAAGAAUCUGAAAGUAAUGACGUUUAUGUUUGUGGUGAGUGUGGUGUUGCAGGUUGCUUAUGGACAACACCAUAUCAGAUGCAUUCCGAAGGAGAGGGAUGCACUCCUUCAAUUCAAGGCUGCCAUUGUCGAUGACUACGGCAUGCUCUCAUCUUGGACCACUCCCGACUGUUGCCAAUGGGAGGGGAUUCUCUGCAACAACCUCACCGCCCAUAUUAUACGCCUCGACCUUCAUGGAGAAGUUCAUUAUGAAUAUUUUUAUCGUUAUGGUUAUUAUGGAGUCUCUCAGCGUUACAUCAGCAGAGAGAUCCACAUGUCGCUAAUGGAAUUGCGACACUUACGGUAUUUGAACCUCAGUUUCAAUGAUUUUAAAGACACUAAUAUUCCAGAGUUUCUUGGCUCUCUUACCAACUUGAGAUAUCUUGAUCUCUCUUCAUGUCGUUUUAGCGGACAAAUUCCAACUCAGAUAAGUUCUCUUUCUCAUUUGAAAUAUUUCAAUCUUGCUCAUAAUUAUUAUUUGAAUGGUCCAAUCCCUCGUGAAAUUGGAAAUCUCUCUCUGUUGGAGUAUCUUGAUCUCAGUGGCAAUUCUUUAGAGGGAAGUGUGCCAUCUCAGAUUGGAAAUCUCUAUCGGCUGCAGUAUCUUGAUCUCAGGUACAAUUCUUUUGAAGGAGAGGUUCCUUCCCAACUAGGAAACCUUUCAAAUUUGCAUACACUCUAUCUUGGAGGAAGAUAUGAUCUCAAAGUUGUCACUACUGAUCAAUGGUUAUCUAAUCUUACUUCUUUAACCCAUUUUUCCUUCAAUUCCAUCUCUAAUUUUAACAGUUCUCCUAGCUGGCUGCGAACCAUUGCCAAGCUACCAAAACUAAGAGAACUCAGUUUAAUUGAAUGUGGCCUUUCCGAUCAUUUCCUCCUUUCAUUCAACCCUUCCAACUUCAAUUUUUCUACUUCCCUUUCUGUCCUUAGACUUUCUGAUAACUCCUUCACGCAACCGACGAUAUUCCAGUGGGUGUCAAACACCACUUCCAACCUUGUUGAGCUUGACCUUAGUUCGAACCUCUUGAAGGGUUUGACAUCAAAUCAUUUUGGCUUGGCCAUGAAUUCGCUUGAGCACCUUUACCUCUCCAAUAAUUUGUUCAAGGGUGAAGAUUUGAAAUCAUUCAUGAAUAUAUGCACCCUACAUUCAUUAUACAUGGAUGGAAACAAUAUGACCGAAGACCUUUCGUCAAUUCUUCAUAAUUUCUCCUGUGGUUGUGUUAGAUACUCACUACAGGAGUUGAGUUUGAGAAACAAUCAAAUCAAAGGCAUCGUACCUGACCUUUCAGUGUUCUCAUCUUUAAAGAUAUUGGAUCUUUCUGACAAUCAAUUGAGUGGGAAGAUACCUGAAGGCACUAGAUUGCCAUCUCAUUUGGAGCAGUUGUCAGUUAGGUUUAACUCUUUAGAAGGUGGUGUUCCAAAAUCAUUUGGGAGCACAUGUACUUUGGAGUUAUUGGAUUUGUCUGAUAAUAAGUUGAGUGAAGAUCUUACGGUCAUAUUUAAUCAUUUGUCUGGAUGUUCUAGAUACUCAUUAGAAGAAAUAUAUCUUGGUCAAAAUAAAGUCAAUGGCACAUUACCUGAUUUCUCAAUAUUUGCAAAGUUGGAAACGUUGGAUCUGCGUUUGAAUCAAAUUAGUGGUACUUUGCCUAGCAACCUCGCAACAAUGUUCUCAUCAUUAAAAGAAUUGUACCUUGAUAGUAACAGGCUAAAUGGGACAAUUUCUGAAGAUCUUCGAUUUCCAUUAGAACUUGAGGAAUUAUCCUUGAUGUCAAACUCUUUGAAAGGUGUGUUAACUGACUCUCAUUUUUAUAAUAUGACAAAGUUAAGGAUAUUGAUGUUAUCAGAUAACUCAUUGACGUUAGAAGUUACUCAGAAUUGGGCUUCAGCUUUUCAAUUGGAUAGUAUUGAAUUGAGGUCUUGCAAGCUUGGUCCUUUAUUUCCCAAAUGGCUAGAGAAACAAAACAAAUUUCAAUACCUUGACAUUUCAAAUAAUGGAAUAUCAGGUACUGUUCCAAAAUGGUUUUGGACCAAAUUUGGAUUGUCAAAUUGGAUGAGUAUUGAUAUUUCAUCUAAUAAUUUACAAGGUACGAUUCCAAAUUUGCCAAUAGAGAAUCAUUAUUCUUCUCUUAGUCUUGCAUCAAAUCAAUUUGAAGGUCAUGUUCCGUCAUUUUUACGAAGCUCAAUAUCUCUUGAUCUAUCAAACAAUAAAUUCACAAAUUCUUUUUCAUUUUUAUGUUCUACUGGUGUAGUUGAAACUUUAAACCGAUUAGACCUUUCAAAUAACAAAUUUUCUGGACAAAUUCCAGACUGCUGGACCCAUUUCAAAUCAUUAGCUUACUUAAAUAUGAGUCAGAACAAAUUUGGAGGAGAGAUUCCCUCUUCAAUGGGAUCACUCCUUGAACUUCAAGUUUUGUUAUUGAGAAACAAUAACUUAACAGGUAAAAUCCCUUCCAUCUUGAAGAAUUGCACACAAUUGGUGAUGAUAGACAUAGCAGAAAAUAGAUUAUCAGGAUCUAUCCCAAAUUGGAUAGGAAACAAAUUAUCGCAGUUGCAAUUUUUAAGCUUAAGAAGCAAUUAUUUCCGUGGGAGUUUACCGUUACAAAUUUGUUAUCUAAAAAGCAUUCAACUCUUAGAUCUCUCUCAAAACAACCUAUCCGGAGAAAUUCCUAAAUGCAUAGAAAACUUUUCCUCAAUGGCUCAAACCACUUCUUAUACCAGAGGUAACUAUUCACAUGAUUUGAACGCAAUCUUGAUGUGGAAAGGUUCAGAACAAAUGUUCACAUACAUGGAAUUAUUACUUUUAAAUAGCAUUGAUCUCUCGAGCAAUCAAUUAUCAGGAGAAAUUCCAAAAGAAAUAGAAGGUUUAUUUGGAUUGGUGUCAUUGAAUUUAUCAAGAAACCAAUUGACAGGAAAAAUUCCUUCAAAUGUUGGACAGUUAACCUCACUUGAAUUUCUUGAUUUGUCACAAAACCAACUUGUUGGUUCUAUUCCUUCAAGUCUUGUUCAAAUUGAUCGACUCACUAUGUUAGAUUUGUCACAUAAUUAUUUAUUUGGAAAAAUUCCAACUGGCACACAAUUACAGAGUUUUGAUGCAUCCAAAUAUGAAGAUAAUGUUGAUCUCUGUGGACCACCAUUAAAGAAAUUGUGCAUUGAUGGUGUAGCAAGACAAGAACCAAUUGUUAAAUAUCAAGAAGAUGACAAUUUAAUUUUCAAUCGUGAAUAUUAUAUAAGUAUGACAAUUGGAUUUGUCAUAAGCUUUUGGGGAGUGUUUGGCUCAAUCUUAAUAAUACGUUCUUGGCAUCAUGCAUAUUUCGAAUUCUUAACUAAUUUAUCAGACAGCCUUUAUGUUAUGACAGUAGUGAAAGUUUUGAAGAGAUUACACACAACAUAGCAGGUAAUAUUUUUUAAUAUUUUAAUCUUAUGUUACAAACUUAAUAUUUUUUCUUUAUUAUUGUUAUUAUUUUAAUAAACAAUUUUAACAAUAUGAUAUUAAGAUCAAUAUUGAAGGCAUUUUUAUGGUAUAUUGCCGUUUUUUUAAUUAUCAAUAUAUAAAUAAUUAUUGAUCAUAUUAUUAUUGUAAAUAGAAUCUUAAAAAGCACAAAAAGUAACUAAAAGAUUUUAGAUUUAAAAAUGUUUUUCUCUCCACGUUAUUCAUCCAUAAUAUUGCUUUUUAUCUUUGUUUUUCUUAUUUUUUAUUUCACGAUG